CGGGGCUCGGCUCCUCCUCGUCCCGCGCCAGCGCCGCGCCCGGCCGCAUUCUCGGGGCCCGAGGCUCAGCCGCUCGCGGUGGAGAAAGCAGGCCGCGGAGGAGGCGGGCGCCCAGGCCUGCCCGGACAGGAAGUGGGCCCAGCUUUCCCACUCCUCGCUCCGCUCCUUCCUCCGCGGGAAGGGCAGGCCCCGGAGGCAGCGAGCGCCCCGGGGGUGGCCGGGCAGCCGGAUGCUCCCGGGGUUGCGGGCUGUGGCCCCGGGGGCUGAGGGCGGCGCGGGUGCGGCGGAAGCAGGGAAGCCGCGAACCGGCCUUCUGGCUGGCCACAGCGCCCUGCACGGACGAUCAGUGAAUGGAGAUUACUCAAGUAUUUAUCGAGAACUUGCAGUGGGCUAGGCACAGUUCAGUGGCACGCGGUGGAAUGUAAUUGAGACAGGAUGGAGUUCCUAGAGAAAUUUUACUUCCUCAAUCUGCACUCCACCUUACUUAAAAUACAGUCUUGGGUCUGUAAUUCCCUUAUCUGACUCUCAAGGAAAUGACAAAGUAAUGCCUAGAUUGGACUAAACCUCAUUUAACUUCAAGGCUGACCUUUCUCAAAGUUGAACCUUCGUCUUGUGAGGAACAGAAAGAUCAAGAACUCUGAAGCACCUCGACUUUCCACCUGUGAAGAUGUGUUCAAAUUUGCAACGUGCGGCCACACCUAUGAGGUCACUCCCUCUGGAGGAAACCAGCUGCCACUUUGUGAGGAUACUCAUAGUCCUGUGGAGGCAUAUCCUCCAUAUGGCUGAGACCUCCUGCGAACAACCAUCACUGACUUGCCAGACAUGAGUGUGCCACCUUGGAAGCAGAUUUUCCAGCCCCAGUUAAGCCUUCAGAUGACAUCAGCCCCUGCUAAUCUCUUGACUACAACCUCAUGAGAGACCCUGAGCCAGAA
rnacentral:lncRNA from 10 species